rnacentral:rRNA from 1 species
GACGGAGGGUGCAAACGCUGUUCGGAAUCACUGGGCAUAAAGAGCACGUAGGCUGCGCGCUAAGUCAGGUGUGAAAUCCCCCGGCUCAACCGGGGAACUGCACCUGAUACUGGCGUGCUCGAGGACGGUAGGGGUGAGUGGAACUCCAGGUGGAGCGGUGAAAUGCGUAGAUAUCUGGAGGAACACCGGUGGCGAAAGCGGCUCACUGGACCGUCUCUGACGCUGAGGUGCGAAAGCUAGGGUAGCAAACGGG